rnacentral:rRNA from 1 species
UACGGAGGAUGCAAGCGUUAUCCGGAAUGAUUGGGCGUAAAGCGUCCGCAGGUGGCUAUGUAAGUCUGCUGUUAAGAGUGAGGCUCAACCUCAUAAGAGCAGUGGAAACUACAUGGCUAGAGUGCGUUCGGGGCAGAGGGAAUUCCUGGUGUAGCGGUGAAAUGCGUAGAUAUCAGGAAGAACACCGGUGGCGAAAGCGCUCUGCUAGGCCGCAACUGACACUGAGGACGAAAGCUAGGGGAGCGAAUGG